AUGAUUAUAGCCAUUGCUGUUUCUUUUUUCAGACUCUCACAUUUCUGAAAAGCCAAAAGAGGGUCUGUGGGGUACCGGGGUAACGACUGUGGACAGACAGGUGGGAAGAGAGGGCAGGGGAGUGCAACCACUACCCAGCAGCACAGCAACCCCGGUGCCUUGUGGUCUCGCUUCUUGUUCCAACCUUGGCAUGUGGUGCAGGGCCAGGCACGUGGUGUGUCAGGUGACAAUGAAGAGACAGGGCCCUUGUAUUUCACGACUUGCACGGGGAGCAAGAUUGUCCAAACAAGUGGGCUCUGUGUGUGGGGUCUUCUGCUGCAGACUGGUGUCCUUGGGGAAAGCCGGAGCCAUUCCUGGGAUGUGCGUACCCCUGAUACCUGUGGCCUUAUUUGCAGAAGGCACUGACACACAUCUUCGGGAGUACACAGACUGUGGACUGGGUGGUCCACAGUCACCCAGUGAAGAUCCACGUUCACAAAGGCAGGAGAGAGGGCUCGGUGGGUGGGCGCAGCGGGUGUGAGCGCGGAGGGAGACCGAAUCCUUGAGGCUGAUCCAGUUUGCUUUAAGGUCUGGGGCUGAGUGCCCUGCCUGAGCAAGCUCGUUUUUGUUUUAAGAUUCCUUCUCCAAGAAGGAAACAGAGUCGCUGCUGCUGGGGACAGUAGCCCCUCACGCCAGCUGUCGGGAGAGUCCCAUAAUGACUGCAGCAUCUGCUCCUCCAGGCACAUCCUGUGCACACAGAAGACACUGCAGCUGCUGCUCAGGGCUGGUGAGAAUGGGGGCCGGGGAAGUGACAGCUGAUGGGCACAGGACUUCUCCUUGGGGUGAUGGACAUGUUCUAAACCCGAGGCUGUGCUAGAUGCCCUGCUUUGUGAACAGGCUAGAAACACCGAGCUGGAUACCACCCUGGUGGGUUUCAUGGCAUGGGAAUUACGUCUCCAUAAAAUUGUUAUGGAAAAAUAAGUCUCGUUCUCCCAAACCAGUGGGCAGCAACGACGAUCCUGCCCAGACCCUGAACAAGCGACCACAGCUUGGAAGGAAAGUGAGAGACCAACCCUGCCUCCCACAGGCUGCCUGAUGGGGCUUCCCUCCCACUUCCAGGUCCGGGGUCGAGGUGGGGGAUAAAGUGCAGGCCUCAGGACCAGCAGCACAGCUGUACCUUGGAAAGUGUUAACGAGUCUCCCCCGUGCUACCCAAUCAGAAAGUGGCACUAGGCCUGCUGCCCUGCUUCACAGAGCCCUGGGGAUAGGGUGGGAUGGAGGUGGUAGUGAGUGUGGGGACCACAGGUCCUUGAUUAGCGAGCACCCUGGAUCUUUCAGGAAGCAGAGGGGAAAAGGUAAAUGCACCCAUCCCCUCUGGCCCAGCAGCUGGAUUCCCCAGCGAGAACCGAGUGACAGAAGAAACACCCCAGGAGACGCUGAGCAGUCAAGCCACCGGAAGCAUUUUAAUGACAACUGGCAUCACAGGUCUUCUCAGCCACGUGCCUAUUACUUUGGAUGAAUGUGUUUUGUGGUGUGAGGCUAACGGUGAUGCUACUCAAGAGCACAGCUGAGGGACAUCAAACACAGGGCGCGUUUUCCGAGUUUAUGCUGGUGUACCCUGCCCGGCAAAGUCAGAAAAGCAGCUUAAAUCCCCCCAAACACUUCUCAUCGUGGGUCAUUUUUCAACAUUGGCUGUGCCUUGCGACAGACCCACCCCGAAAGUUGACACCGAUUCCGCCUGGGUACAGCCUCUCUGGGGUUUGACCCAACCUCCCCACCGGGCAGGCACUCUGUGUGGUGGGUGGUCCAGGCUGGGCUCCGUCCUGCUGAACGGGACCCACUCCCGGGCCUUGACCCUGUGAUGGUGGUGGUGGGGUCACUGAAGGCGUAGAGAGCUUUUCCUAAUUGUAAAGUCCCAGCAAAGCCGGAGGGAUACAAGAAAGCACGACAGUCACAGGGCGAGGAAUGGAGGGACGGACAUCGUUGCCGAAAAGCUGUCUGAUGAAGAGAAUAUAAUUUAUAUUUCAUUUAGGAAAAAUAUACCACGUGAUCCUCAGAGAUCAGCGUUAAAUAUAAAUCAAAUGUGAGUCUAGGCCGUAAAAAGGAAAUGUGCAAGAGGAAAGAGGAGGCCACUGUUGGACUGUCCAGAUCCUCAGUUCUGCCCGGAGGCCACGUCGGCACGGAGAAGGUCACUUCCCUGGCCAAGUGGACCUCGGAUGCAGGGCCUCCUCUUGGAAGACCCUACUUUUGUAUUCUGCUUCUUUAUUAGAAAUAUAAACAGAGUAUGAUUUGUCUCUU